UACGGAGGGUGCAAGCGUUAUCCGGAUUCACUGGUUAAAGGUGCGUAGGUGGGCUAGUAAGUUCAGUGUGAAUACUCCGGCUUAACCCGGGAACUGCCAUUGAUACUAUUAGUCUUGAAUACCAUGGAGGUGAGCGGAAUAUUGUCAUGUAGCGGUGAAAUGCUUAGAUAUGACAUAGAACACCAAUUGCGAAGGCAGCUCGCU
rnacentral:rRNA from 1 species